rnacentral:rRNA from 1 species
CCCUUAGAUGUUCUGGGCCGCACGCGUGCUACACCGAACGGUUCAAUGGGUAAGGUAGUGCGAAAGCAUGACCUAAUCUCGAAAUCCGUUCGUGCUGGGGAUAGAAGCUUGCAAUUAUCCUUCUUGAACGAGGAAUACCUUGUAAGCGUGAGUCAUCAUCUCACGCUGAAUACGUCCCUGCCCUUUGUACACACCGCCCGUCGCUCCUACCGAUUGAGUGUUCCGGUGAGGCUUUGGGAGAAUGGCCUCAACAUGAGUUUAUCGUGUUUUGCCGUUUGAACUUAGUCAAACCUUAUCACUUAGAGGAAGGAGAAGUCGUAACA